GGACUACUGGGGUUUCUAAUCCUGUUUGAUCCCCACGCUUUCGUGCCUCAGCGUCAGUUACAAUUUAGCGAGCUGCCUUCGCAAUCGGUGUUCUGUGUCAUAUCUAAGCAUUUCACCGCUACAUGACACAUUCCGCCCACUUCAAGUGUACUCAAGACCAUCAGUAUCAAUGGCAAUUCCCAGGUUGAGCCUGGGGCUUUCACCACUGACUUAAUAGUCCGCCUACGCACCCUUUAAACCCAAUAAAUCCGGAUAACGCUUGGAUCCUUCGUAUUACCGCGGCUGCUGGCAC
rnacentral:rRNA from 1 species